rnacentral:rRNA from 1 species
CCUACGGGAGGCAGCAGUGAGGAAUAUUGGUCAAUGGACGCAAGCCUGAACCAGCCAUGCCGCGUGAAGGAUGACGGCCCUAGGAGUUGUACCCUGUUUUUGUCAGGAUGUAAACUCAUUUCCGUGUUCCUUUCUGAAUUUACUUUAUGAUUAACGAUCGGCUAACCCCGUGCCAGCAGCCGCGGUAAUCCGGAGGAUCCGAGCGUUAGCCGGAUUUAUUGGGUUUAAAGGGAGCGUAGACGGGAGGUUAAGUUAGUGGAGAAAGUUUGGGGCUCAACCUGAGAAUUGCCUUUGAUACUGUCAGGCUUGAGUACAGGUGAGGUAGGCGGAAUUCGUGGUGUAGCGGUGAAAUGCUUAGAUAUCACGAAGAACACCGAUUGCGAAGGCAGCUUACUAAAAUGCCACUGACAUUGAGGCUCGAAAGCGUGGGUAGCAAACAGGAUUAGAUACCCGAGUAGUC